UCACGCGGCUGUUUUUUGAUAAAAAUUCUGGGGUAUGCAAGGUGUUUUCAAUUUCACAGUCAUGGUCCAGCCGUUUAAAUUUUGAGCAUUAACACAACUUCUUGGUGAACAGCAAGAGGAAAUAUCAUCACAUGAUCAGUUAAAAAUAGUAAAUAAUAAUAAAGCUUUAGAAAAUUGGGGAAAUGCGACACAGGAAUCUAAUUGAGGAAGGCCACUGUUGUGCCUGUACAGUGUUGUGACACAGAGUACUGAGGAGCAGCCUGUAGUUUUCUGACUAUGGAUUCCGCUAUCUUUAUUCUGCUUCUCAUUUUAGGUUGUCACUUAUCAAGGGGACAGGACAGAGUAGAUGCAUCAGGAACGGUUUUGCUGCGAUUGCCUUUUAAUCCGUAUUUCAAUUAUUAUGAAAAGUUCUGCUGCAGAUUUUACCAAGGUGUUUGUCUUCCUUUUGUGGACAACAGAGGACAUGCCGGUGACAUCUAUAAGGGAAGAAUAUCUCUAAUCGAAUACAACGGAUUUAUGGAUGUGACAAUCUGGAAUUUACAAAAGUCAGACGGUGGACUGUACCGAUGUGCCAUAACUGAUUCACCCUAUCACGUUUACAAGGACUUCAUAGUUGUAAUACCAGAGAACUGUCACAAAGACACUUUACAGAGAAGCAAGGCAAGAGACAGAGCAAAAAGAGCAAGCAGAGCAAACACCAGACCUGAACCCCCCAAAUAGCAAGUACAUGAGAUAGAAAACUCCCAAUGGGGAGAAAAC